rnacentral:rRNA from 1 species
CCUACGGGUGGCAGCAGUGGGGAAUAUUGGACAAUGGGCGAAAGCCUGAUCCAGCAAUGCCGCGUGUGUGAAGAAGGUCUUCGGAUUGUAAAGCACUUUCGACGGGGACGAUGAUGACGGUACCCGUAGAAGAAGCCCCGGCUAACUUCGUGCCAGCAGCCGCGGUAAUACGAAGGGGGCUAGCGUUGCUCGGAAUGACUGGGCGUAAAGGGCGCGUAGGCGGUUUAUGCAGUCAGAUGUGAAAUCCCCGGACUUAACCUGGGAACUGCAUUUGAGACGCAUAGACUAGAGGUCGAGAGAGGGUUGUGGAAUUCCCAGUGUAGAGGUGAAAUUCGUAGAUAUUGGGAAGAACACCGGUGGCGAAGGCGGCCAUCUGGAUCGACACUGACGCUGAGGCACGAAAGCGUGGGGAGCAAACAGGAUUAGAUACCCGGGUAGUC